GGAUUAUGGCUCAGUGGUAGAGCGCUCACCUCGCACAUGAGAGAUCUUGGGUUUGAUCCUCAGCACCA
rnacentral:tRNA from 1 species